UGGAUACACAGUGAAACUGUCGGGACAAUUUAAUGAGGGUUCGACACUUAUCAGUGGUUUAUGGUUUGAACAAUUUCACUGAUCCCCCUCCAUUUCUUGGCACACCUGUAGUUGCUCAGUACUCACGUGUGAUUGUACGGAGGUAGAACAAAGCCAGUGCUAUGUCUUCGGUACCAGUGUGUGUUAUCGUCUGCUGGUCCUAUCCUCAAUCGCUGGCACACUUACAAAUAUGGAACGGGGCCUCAUUAAAUGCAACACCCUUAAACGAUUUUAUAUAGUAUAGGGUAUAGUGUUCCUUAAAAUGAUUUAUUUUUAAUUUUUAAGUCUACAUAUUAAUCUCCAGCACCACAUCAACAUGUAAGGUGUCUUUCUAUGUUUCGUAGCAGAGGAAGAUGUUUGUAGGCAAUGCCUACUCGCUAUUGGUCAAUCACUCAAUGCAAUCACUCAAUGCACACUGAUUUCAUUGGAAACACAAUGCCUACUCGCUAUUGGUCAAUCACUCAAUGCACACAGAUUUCAUUGGAAACACAACAACUGAACAAGUUAUUCUUUUAUAGGUGGUAGACCCUUAAUAUUAAAUUCUACCUGGGGCCCUAUUGUGUUUUUAAGUGGUUUUACCAACUAGACUGCAAACGCUGAUUAAUCUAACUCCAUUGUCUUUAGAUGAAGAAUUUGAGGAGGCACCACCCCCAAAGAAGGCUGAAGGUCACGGCAGCCAAGGAGUAGUCUGACGACGAUGAUGAGAGACUCUGAGGAAGAGGAGAUGGACACCACCCCGGCACCCGCAGCAAAGAAAGCAGGCAUGGUCAAGGCUAAAGAGUCUGACGAUGAUGGAAGUUUGGCUACGUAGAAUUUGCCUCAGUGGAGGACAUGCAGACGGCCUUGGAGCUGAACGGCAAGAAGUGCAUGGGAUAGGAGUUGAAGAUGGAUAAGACCCGCAGCAAAGGAAACUCCCAGGGGGACAAAGGUACAUUUAUAUUACUGUUGAUAUUUGUAGUGCAUUGACUAAAUCUUGCUGUUUGAAACUUUUAAGGUUUUCACAAAUGUGAUAAUUGAAUAAACUGAAGUGGUGAUUUAAAGUCUUGUCCUUUCCUUUCAUAAUACUUGGAGCUUCCAACGAUUGUGUACAUUAUUUCUUUCCUGUGAUGGAACUUCCUGAAGUGGUUAAAAAAAAAAACUAGUGUGACAUGAGUAAGUUGACUAAUGACGACAAGCUGAAGCCAGCUAAUUAUUUUUGGUAUUUAGAGAGAACCCGUUGAGCCCAGGGCCUCGUGCCGUGAUCACAGUAGUCCAAUGUUAAAAAGAAAAAAAAAUACAACACAAUUUUAAGGAAAACUCGGGUCCUUAAUCCACACUUGAAAUUGAUCAUCCACUUUAUGUAACUUGCUCCAGCAGUGAGGUGUGUUAAAUAAAGCAGGAUUAACAGUCAGAAACUAUUCAUACCCCUUGACUUAUUUGUGUUGCCUUAAAGCCUGAAAUCAAAUAAGAUUACAUUGAUCUUUUUUACUCCCAUCUACAAAGUAUACCCCGUAACGACAAAGGUAAUAGUUUUUUUUUUUUGCACAGUUAUUGAAAUUUUAAAUUCAUUGCUUGUAUGAAUAUUGCAUUUUACACCCUUGAGUCAAUGCAUGCUAGAAUCACCGUUGGCAGUGAUUGCAGCGGUCUUUCAGGGUGAGUAAGCUUUGCGCACAUGUUUUAAAAAAAAAAAAAAACAAUAUUUGCAUAACUAGGACAGUUUAGGAACAAAUUUUUAUUUACAAUGAUGGCCUACCCUGGCCAAACUCUUCACGACACCGGCGCCAACCUAUGGGACUCCCAAUCAUGACCGGUUGUGAUGGAGACCCGAAUCCGGGUCUGUAGGGACGCCUCUAGCACUGAGAUUCAGUGCCUUAGACCGCUGUCCAUUAUUUCUAUGCACUCAUUUUCAGGUUUUAGCAUAGAUUUUCAAGCUGAUUUUAAAAUAAAUUAACUCAGCCACUCAGGACCUUCCACUGUCUUGGAAAGCAACUCUAUAGUGUAGUUCUAAGUUAUUGUCCUGCUGAAAGGUGAAUUCAUCACCCACUGUCUGGUUUUAACUAUUCCGUUUGGAUUUAUCUGUAAACGCUACCCAGUCCUUGAUGAUUACAGGAAUACCUGUCACAUGAUGCAGGCACCUCUGCUUGUAUUGGUGGAUUGUUGUACUUAGUAAUGUGUUUAUAUUAGAUUUGCCCCAAACCCAAUGUAUUCAGGGCAAGAAACCUCCCUGGUCUUUGUGGUUAAAUCUGUAUUUCAAAUUCACUGCUCAACUGAGGGACCUUUUUUAAAGAGAAUAUAUUUUAUGUGUGGGGUACAGAGAUCAGGAAGUCACACAUUGCUUUUUUUUUUUGAACACUUAUUGCACACAGUGAGUCCACACCGAGCAGUUUGUCGUGGCCUUCGCUGAAUUUGUACUUUGGCUCAAAUGAACAAAUAAGCCAUAAAUGUUAACAUCUAGAUGUGCUCAUUUGUUGAGAAUAUAUUUUCCCCCAAAUAAAAGCAUGAUUGACUUGAAUCACACCAUCUAGUUGUGUAUGUAGCUCAGUUGGUAGAGCAUGGCGCUUGUAACGCCAGGGUAGUGGGUUCGAUCCCCGGGACCACCCAUACGUAGAAUGUAUGCACACAUGACUGUAAGUCGCUUUGGAUAAAAGCGUCUGCUAAAUGGCAUUUAUUAUUAUUAUUACCUCAGUCUACCCUCAACCCCGUUGUACCAACGACCCCCCCAUAAAAUAGUGAACUUAUCUGGCGACAUACAAGUUCUGAACAAUAUGGUGUAAAGACAGGCAAGUUAUAAAAGAUUAUCUAUAUUUCAUAGAUUUUUGUUAGAUUGGGGUUAACUUUUGUUACAUUAAAUAACCUACUACUUACUAAAACUAUAUAUUUUUUUUUCUUGCAUGCCAUGUGAU